rnacentral:rRNA from 1 species
UACGUAGGGGGCAAGCGUUGUCCGGAUUUAUUGGGCGUAAAGCGCUCGCAGGUGGUCCGUUGCGUCGUGCGUGAAAGCCCCCGGCUCAACUGGGGAGGGUCACGCGAUACUGAUCGACUCGAAGGCAGGAGAGGGUAGUGGAAUUCCCGGUGUAGUGGUGAAAUGCGUAGAUAUCGGGAGGAACACCGGUGGCGAAGGCGGCUCUCUGGACGGUGACUGACGCUGAGACGCGAAAGCGUGGGGAGCAAACAGG